GUAUUUUAUUUAAGUCUGCUUCUUAGGGCAAACAAAAAAGACGUUCACAAUUAAAGGGUGUGUGUAAAAAGACAAGGGCUCAGCCACCUGACGGCAGCCUACCCCCCUGCAAGAGUUCACAAGUGUAUGUGGGUUUUGGGUCAGAGCGCGCACAUGCCAUAAGGCCAGCAGCAGCCCCUCCCCGAAGAAUUCAAUAAUGAUCCUUCCGCAGGUUCACCUACGGAAA
rnacentral:misc_RNA from 1 species